GAUUUCACCUAAUGCAUUUAGCGAUUCUGCAGUCCUCUGUAUAGUGAGAAGGAAACAUCCAUAUUCUCUGUUUGGAAUAGCUUCAAAUGGGGAGACAUGAAAAAGAUAAUUCAACACUGUUGUGAGAAUUUAUGGGGGAAGAUCUUAAGAAGAACAGCCAUACUGGGUCAGACCAAUGGUCCCUCCAGGCCAGCAUCCUGUCUUCUGACAGUGGCCAACACCAUGUGCUUCAAAGGGAAUGAACAGUACAGAUCUUUCUUGAGUGGUAACAGCUAAAUUAGACCCCAUCAUUUUGCAUGUAUAGUUGAGAUUAUGUUUUCCAAUAUGCAUUACUUUGUAUUUAUCAACAUUGAAUUUUAUCAGCCAUUUUGUUGCCCAGUCACCCAGUUUUGUGAGAUCCCUUUGUAACUUUGCUUUGGACUUAACUGUCUUGAGUAGUCUUAUAUCCUCUGCAAAUUUUCCCAUUUCACUGUUUACCCCUUUUUCCAGAUCAUUUAUGCAUAUGUUGAACAGCACUGUCCCC